GUCGAAGGCGAUGAAAUCGGAUUUAUAUCGGAUACAGCAAUUAAUAAGACAGCACAAUCCAAACGUACAUAAAAAAAAUACAAUAAAGGUCCAACCAAAAUAAAUAACCGCAAAAUAGAAAAUGCUUUUGCUAAAGUUUCUGAUGUGAACAUUUCUUCUGGUGAUUCGGAUGAGGAUGAAUCGAUUUCAAUUAGCAGUAGUUCUGAUGGUGAGAACACACCUCCACGUAAACUUUCCAAAUCAGUUAUUCAGAGAAAAUCAAAUCAAAUUAACUUUAAUGGACAAGAAAAAAUUAAAACUUUUCCAUUUUUGCUACAAAACGAGGAUAAGGAAACAAACUGCAGCGAAUUACUUUCAAAAUCUGCAACGAAUUUAGAAUCUACUACAGUUGGUCAUACCAACAAGCCAGGACAAUUGAAUUUUGAUGAUGAAGAAGAGGCAAUAAACCUACCAUUACGACAGAUGACCUAUAAUAAAUUACUUUCAACAACUGCAACGAAUUUUGAUGGCAUUGUUGAAAAAUCUAAUAAAUCAGUUAAAUUGGUUUCAAAAGUUUUAAAAAACAAAGAUAAUGGUUUUGUGAAAAAUACGAAAUAGUUUUUCCAUUAAAAACUUUCGACGAAUUUGAAGUUUUUGAUAAGAAAUUAAAAACAAAUGGUCAACUGCGCGAUCAUUUCAAAAUAGAGUUGCAGUUUUAUGUGGUCCAAAACAAAACAUUGACAAAAAAUUUAACUUUAAUGUUGCAAAAUUUGAUCGACAGAGACGUAUUAAUGUGCUUUACGACGAUAAAGCAAGUACAAGGAAAACAUUUAUUUAAAAACACUACAUUUUGUCAGUGUUUAAUAGAGAUUUUUAAAAGCAAGUCUAUUGCAGAGAAAUCAGAAUUUCAAACCACCAAUUUUUACAAAGAUUUAGGGGUUGUAAUUUCUAAUUCAAAAGAUUGGUUUGGCCAUCGUGUGGCGAAAAAAAUAAAACUUCUGUAACAGCGAACCAAGAAGAUUUAACUCUUGAUAAGGUACAAAGUGAAUAAAAUGUUAAAACAUGAAAAGUUCAAAGAAGAGUAAAGUGAAAA